GGAGGUUGCUGCUAUUGGGGUUCGACUAAGCCAUGCAAGUUUGCUCAGCAAUGGGCGGCAGACUGCUCAGUAACACGUCAAUAAUCUGCCCUUAGAUCUAGGAUAACCUUGGGAAACUGAGGCUAAAACUGGAUAGAAGAUUAUAAUUGGAAAAUGUUUUCUUUCAAAAGCAAUGUCUAAGGAUGAGUUGGCGGCUGAUUAGGUUGUUGGUGAGGUAAAGGCUCACCAAGCCGACGAUCAGUAAGGGCCUUGAAAGAGGUAGCCCUGAGAAGGACACUGAGACACUGGUCCUAGCCCUACGGGGUGCAGCAGGCGCGAAACCUUUACAAUGCACGCAAGUGUGAUAAGGGAACCCCAAGUGCUCAUGUUUUACAUGGGCUUUUGCUAAGAGUAAAAACCUUAGCGAAUAAGUGGUGGGUAAGACGGGUGCCAGCCGCCGCGGUAACACCUGCGCCACAAGUGGCAACCAGUAUUAUUGGGCCUAAAGCGUCCGUAGCCGGUUUGAUAAAUCUUUUGUGAAAUUGUUGUGCUUAACGCAACAGCGUGCAAAAGAGACUGUCAGACUUGGAACCGGGAGGAGUCAGAAGUAUUUCUGGGGGAGCGGUAAACUGCUAUAAUCCUAGAAAGACUGCCAGUGGCAAAGGCGUCCGACUAAAGCGGCUUCGACGGUGAGGGGCGAAAGCCAGGGGAGCAAUCCGGAUUAGAUA
rnacentral:rRNA from 1 species